UUUAAAUGUAAUUAUAGGUUUAUAUUUUCAACAUGUGACCAUCCGUCUUAUUUAAAUUAUUUUAUGAUUAGUACUUUUAUUGUUAUUAGAUGAUAAAACAUGAAUAAUAUUUUAUGUGUGACUUGUUUUUUAGAAAAAAUAAAUAAAACGGACAGUAAUACGGAAAUCCACAACUACACUUAUA
rnacentral:pre_miRNA from 1 species